GAUGAAGAACGUAGCGAAAUGCGAUACGUAAUGUGAAUUGCAGAAUUCAGUGAAUCAUCGAGUCUUUGAACGCACAUUGCGCCCCCUGGUAUUCCGGGGGGCAUGCCUGUCCGAGCGUCAUUGUUGCCCUCAAGCACGGCUUGUGUGUUGGGCCUCCGUCCUCCUCCCGGGGGACGGGCCCGAAAGGCAGCGGCGGCACCGCGUCCGGUCCUCGAGCGUAUGGGGCUUCGUCACCCGCUCUUGUAGGCCCGGCCGGCGCUUGCCGACACAUCAAUCUUUUUUCCAGGUUGACCUCGGAUCAGGUAGGGAUACCCGCUGAACUUAAGCAUAUCAAUACGCGGAGGA
rnacentral:misc_RNA from 1 species